rnacentral:rRNA from 1 species
GAUAAACGCUGGCGGCGUGCCUAAUACAUGCAAGUCGAGCGAACUGAUUAGAAGCUUGCUUCUAUGACGUUAGCGGCGGACGGGUGAGUAACACGUGGGCAACCUGCCUGUAAGACUGGGAUAACUUCGGGAAACCGAAGCUAAUACCGGAUAGGAUCUUCUCCUUCAUGGGAGAUGAUUGAAAGAUGGUUUCGGCUAUCACUUACAGAUGGGCCCGCGGUGCAUUAGCUAGUUGGGGAGGUAACGGCUCACCAAGGCAACGAUGCAUAGCCGACCUACGAGGGUGAUCGGCCCCACUGGGACUGAUCAACGGCCCAGACUCCUACGGGAGGUAGCAGUAGGGAAUCUUCCGCAAUGGACGAAAGUCUGACGGAGCAACGCCGCGUGAGUGAUGAAGGCUUUCGGGUCGUAAAACUCUGUUGUUAGGGAAGAACAAGUACGAGAGUAACUGCUCGUACCUUGACGGUACCUAACCAGAAAGCCACGGCUAACUACGUGCCAGCCGCCGCCGUAAGAC